ACGUCUCAGUUCGGAUUGUAGUCUGCAACUCGACUACAUGAAGCUGGAAUCGCUAGUAAUCGCGAAUCAGAAUGUCGCGGUGAAUACGUUCUCGGGUCUUGUACACACCGCCCGUCACACCAUGGGAGUCAGCAACGCCCGAAGCCGGUGACCCAACCGAAAGGAGGGAGCCGUCGAAGGUGGGGCCGAUAACUGGGGUGAAGUCGUAACAAGGUAUC
rnacentral:rRNA from 1 species